rnacentral:lncRNA from 1 species
ACUUUUCAUACAGACAUAGUGAAUAGGCAAUAUUAGGAUCACAAUUCUUGGGGCAAGCUUUUGGGUGGUUGGGGUCAGACUCUCCCUCACAAAUGAAAGUCCCGUCAGCAUUGUAAUAGUUGCAACCCUUGAGGCCUGCACAACAAUUGGUGCAUAUGGGUUGUUCUGCACUUGCUUCGGAACGUGGACACUUUGAAUAGAAAAUUCUUGGAUCACAGUUCAGAGUGCAAGGUUUUGGGUUGUUGGGGUCAGACUCUCCUUCACAAAUGAAGGUCCCGUCAGCACUGUAAUAGUUGCAACCCUUACGACCUGCACAGCAAUUGGUGCAUAUGCGAUUUUCUGCGUUUCCUUCGGAACGUGGACACUUUGAAUAGAAAAUUCUUGGAUCACAGUUCAAAGUACAAGGUUUUGGGUUGUUGGGGUCAGACUCUCCUUCACAAAUGAAGGUCCCGUCAGCACUGUAAUAGUUGCAACCCUUACGACCUGCACAGCAAUUGGUGCAUAUGCGAUUUUCUGCGUUUCCUUCGGAACGUGGACACUUUGAAUAGAAAAUUCUUGGAUCACAGUUCAAAGUACAAGGUUUUGGGUUGUUGGGGUCAGACUCUCCUUCACAAAUGAAAGUCCCAUCAGCACUGUAAUAGUUGCAACCCUUACGGCCUGCACAACAAUUGGUGCAUAUGGGUUCUUU